rnacentral:tRNA from 1 species
UUUUUGGUGUAAUUAAGGCACGUUAAAUUUUGAAUUUAAAAGAAGUAAAUCUUUUUGCUAAAAUUAAUAA